AUCCUGGGCUGAGGUGGGGACUGGGUCAUUCCCCCAGUCCCUCCAUGCCUCUCCUGCCAGCCUCGGAGGCCUUCCCUUCAUUCCUGGAGUCUGAAAUGCUGAGUUGUGGCUCUGUGCCAGCUGCUGAGGAUUCGGCAUGAACAAGGCCUGCGCCCAGCUUGGCAUAGACUGUAGGGGGCAACCCGUCAGGAGGCUUCAUCCCGUUCCUGGUGGAGAGGAGGCUGGGCUGGCAGCGCAGUGUACUGGGACUUGGUGGCCACGGCUGGGAGUUGCCCGUGUGUGAACAACUGGAUGACCAGAUCCUCUGAGGCCCUUGGAACUACUGCAACCUCCAUGCCUUCCCUGGAGCUGAGCUUAGCUGACUGUGACCAGGGAGGAAGAGAAAACACCUCUGGUGCAGAGGGCGGGG